ensembl:lncRNA
AUGAGCUUCAUCACUGUGUCUGUCACGCCACUCUGUUCCCCUUUCAGGCUUGAACUGAUGAUAAAACUAAGAACAUUAUUAACUGUCUUUACAUUUAUUUUGAAAGAUGAAGCUCACGAUUAUGGAAAGGUUACAUUUCCGAUGAGUGCUUGCGAUGUUCGGCCAAUCACAAUGCAGCUCCCAUUAGAAAUUUUCUUGGAACUUCACCUGUUUUAAAAAAAAUUCUGAUGCUCCUGAAAUCAUAGUACAAUUUUUAUCAAUAUUUGUUUACAAUGAAAAAUCAAAACGUGUUUGAAACAGUGUUUUUAAAUAGUUUCAGCCCAUUUUAGCCUGCAUGUAAGUGACGUCACCGAUAGACUCUACAGUGCAGACGUUUAGCUUACUUCCAUUUACCUAUUGACAAAUUACCAGCAAAACAUUUACAAUGCUAUUAAAACCGCUCAUCUACACAUAAGAUGUGAUUAAAAGGCCAAACUUUCAUCAAUAAGAGCUCAAAUCUAUAGUUAGCCUACCUCUUAUAGUUAGCAUGUACAAGUUAACGGUUGUGAUGCUAACGGUCUUUUUCUGAAGACACUAAACCAUUUCUGUAAAGUAAAUAUUGAACAGAAACGUGUCAGUUACAUGUAAGAAAGUGUCAGGAAGAGUUGUAUGUAUUAUUAUAAUUUUACAGAAACACAAUUAAACACGCAACAUGAGCUUUAUUGUUAAAUGCAUUUUUAAAAUAUAUUUCAAUAUAUUUAACAGUGUUUCACAUGUGAAUAUAUUACCUUUCUGUAUGGGUAAUGGUAGACCUCCCUAAAAAAAACUGAAAAUCACUGUUUAAUUUAUUUGUAUCUUUACUUUAUUGUAUUUAUUUGUGUUGUUGCUAGUCGUUAGAAUAUAUAGAUAUUUUUUUAAGUAUAGUUUUUCCAUAAACAGCACAUACCGAACCAAAAGCGUGACUCUAAAACCAUGAAAAAGUUGAACUGUUCCACCCCUAAUAUAUGUAUAUUUAAUAUAUAGACUAUUUCUUUCUAUCUAUCUAUCUAUCUAUCAUCUGACUAUUUCUAUCUAUCUAUCUAUCUAUCUAUCUAUCUAUCUAUCUAUCUAUCUAUCUAUCAUCUGACUAUUUCUAUCUAUCUAUCUAUCUAUCUAUCUAUCUAUCAUCUGACUAUUUCUAUCUAUCUAUCUAUCUAUCUAUCAUCUGACUAUUUCUAUCUAUCUAUCUAUCUAUCUAUCUAUCUAUCUAUCUAUCUAUCAUCUGACUAUUUCUAUCUAUCUAUCUAUCUAUCUAUCUAUCAUCUGACUAUUUCUAUCUAUCUAUCUAUCUAUCUAUCAUCUGACUAUUUCUAUCUAUCUAUCUAUCAUCUGACUAUUUCUAUCUAUCUAUCUAUCGAGCCUGUCCUCCAACAAAAAACGACCAUAUAGGUCGUUUGUGCAAGCACCUUAUUACGACCUAUUUUUACGUUUUAACAUUAAGCGGCCUCUAGCGGGCGUAAAAAUAAUGACAGUAUCGCGUUGCGUCUGUCGUCAUGAAAUGACGUAUAACGUCAUUACCAAUCAAAACGCACGUUUAUUUAAAUGCAAUGUGUGGACUUUUUACACCGAUCUCACAGUAAUUUGUACAUAUUUUACUAGGAGGCUUAUUCGUUCGAAUGACCACACCUAACCCCACCCCCUAAACCUAACCCUCACAGAAAUCAUGCUAAAUUAUGAUUUAUUGAGCAUAUACAUUUUACGUGCACGUCCAUUCUUGGGGAUCGAACCCAUGAUAGCAUGAUUGCAUAUCAAGGUAUAACGCAAUAAUCUACCAACUGAGCUACACGAAACGCAAAUCACGGUGCAAAUAAAAGAGUACAAAACAUUAAUAUGAACACGACCUUUUGCCGAUAGGGGCGCAAUUGUAGUAUACGCUCUGAUGGGUUGUAUUUCAGGGAUUUGGACAAACGACCUAUACGAGCGUAUUAGUUGGAGGACAGGUUGAUCUAUCUAUCUAUCUAUCUAUCUAUCUAUCUAUCUAUCUAUCUAUCUAUCUAUCAUCUGAAUAUUUCUAUCUAUCUAUCUAUCUAUCAUCUGACUGUUUCUAUCUAUCUAUCUAUCUAUCUAUCUAUCUAUCAUCUGACUAUUUCUAUCUAUCUAUCUAUCUAUCUAUCUAUCAUCUAUUUGUAUCUAUCAUCUGACUAUCUAUCUAUCUUAACAACAUGCUAAUAAUGUUACAAACAUGCUAGUCACAUGCUAGAAACAUGCUAGUAACAUGCUAAUCAUGCUAGAAACAUGCUAGCAACAUGCUAGUAACUGGUUAAUCAUGCUAGAAACAUGCUAGUAAUGCUAGAGACAUGCUGGUAACUAGCUAAUCAUGCUAACAAAAUGCUAGUAAUACCCUAGCAACCACCCUGAGUAUUCUAGCAACUGCCUAGCAAAGCCCUAGCAAACACCCCAGGUAGCCUAGCAACACCUUAACAAUCAACCCGCGUAUCCUAGCAAACGCAUAGCAACACCCUAGCACCCAACCAGAGUACCUUAGCAACCUCACAGCAACACCCUGAAACUGCCCCAGGUACCCUAGCAACUGCAUAGCAACACUCUAGCAACCUACCCAGGUACCCUAGCAACCGCAAAGCAACAUCCUAGCAACCACCCAAGGUGCUUUAGCAACUGCAUAGCAACACAUAGAAACCACAUAGACACACGCUACAGUCUAUUAAUCUACAUCUAAAAUUUCUAAUUUAAUUUAAUAUUUUCUAUCUAUCUAUCUUUCUGAUAAAUUGCAUUGUCCUCAAAACUUUAAAGCUUUAGAACUAAUUUAAACUUCAGACGUGGUUUUAAGCUACUUUCAAACGUUCUAGCUAGGCUUUCUCAGGCCAACCUAAAGUUGGUCUUGACAAACUUUUUUAUCUAGUUAUGAUUAAUGUCUUAUUUUUAUCUACAGUAUAACAGCUACAUAAUUAUUUCACCUAAACAUGGGGGAUAAGAUGAUGAAACCUGUUAUUUUUCAGUAAUCAAGUCAGUAAACAACAAUCCUGUGUUUUACUAGUGCAGCAAUACUGAUCUAUAAAAACAGGAUUGCUCUGAGGUCAUAACAAGUAAAUGUUGGUAUUCCCACACAUUCUAUUAUCUUAAUAUAAAAUUAUCUGAUUUUAAUGAGAAAACAUUACCAAGUCAUAUUUAAAGUCUUCUUGUAAAUUCUUACAAUGCAAAGCGAAACGUCCUAAGUACUUGGUUACAUCUUUAUUAGGUCAAGAACUUCCCUGCUUAUUGAAGAGUUGAGUUUAUCUUCAUUACAGUAGUUAAAAUAUCAGAUCAGACACCUCAACAUAGCCUAUGUAUUAAACAUAAUGACGUGCUCAUUCUGGUGUCUGAAUCAAGAUGAUGCAGGUACACCUUAAAUUUCAAUACAACAAUAUAAUAAUAUAGUCAUAGACAUGUAAUUGUAAUAAAAAUUGUAUAUCCGAAUGAAUUUCUGCUAAUAACGAAUGAUGUAUGUUUAAUAUUUUCUGUAAAACGCAUAAUUACGCACAUAAAGAAAUAUAUUUUGUUAGGCCAGUCUUCUGUGUCGACAGAAAUCUGAUAUAUGGUCCAAACACGCUUGAUCAACCAUGUACAAGAUUUCUGUAGUGUGCAGUAGACACUCAUCAUAACGAUUUAUAUAUA